rnacentral:rRNA from 1 species
UACAGAGGGUGCGAGCGUUAAUCGGAAUUACUGGGCGUAAAGGGCGCGUAGGUGGAUAAGUCAGUGAGAUGUGAAAGGUCUGAGCUUAACUUAGAAAAGUCAUCUCAUACUGCUCGUCUAGAGUAGGGGAGAGGGAAGUGGAAUUUCCGGUGUAGCGGUGAAAUGCGUAGAUAUCGGAAGGAACAUCUGUGGCGAAGGCGACUUCCUGGCCCACUACUGACACUGAGGCGCGAAAGCGUGGGGAGCGAACAGG